rnacentral:rRNA from 1 species
UACGUAGGGUGCAAGCGUUAUCCGGAAUUAUUGGGCGUAAAGAGCUCGUAGGCGGUUUGUCGCGUCUGCUGUGAAAACUGGAGGCUCAACCUCCAGCCUGCAGUGGGUACUGGCAAACUAGAGUGCGGUAGGGGAGAUUGGAAUUCCUGGUGUAGCGGUGGAAUGCGCAGAUAUCAGGAGGAACACCGAUGGCGAAGGCAGAUCUCUGGGCCGUAACUGACGCUGAGGAGCGAAAGCAUGGGGAGCGAACAGG